rnacentral:rRNA from 1 species
UACGUAGGGGGCAAGCGUUGUCCGGAUUUAUUGGGCGUAAAGAGCGUGUAGGCGGCCAUGUAGGUCCGUUGUGAAAACUCGAGGCUCAACCUCGAGACGCCGAUGGAAACCAUGUGGCUAGAGUCCGGAAGAGGCGAGUGGAACUCCUGGUGUAGCGGUGGAAUGCGCAGAUAUCAGGAAGAACACCAACGGCGAAGGCAGCUCGCUGGGACGGUACUGACGCUGAGACGCGAAAGCGUGGGGAGCAAACAGG